GUUUGGUGGUGUGCCUGUAGUCCCAGCUACUCGGGAGGCUGAGGCAGGAGAAUCACUUGAACCUGGGAGGCAGAGGUUGCAGUGACCCGAGAUCACACCACUGCACUCCAGCCUAGGCGACAGAGCAAGACUCCAUCUCAAAAAAAAAAAAAGAAAAAUAAUAAAACCAGCUGAAAUUCCAGAAUAAAUGGUAACUACCAUCAGGAAAAAGAAGAACUGAUUGAAGAGUGGCAACCAGAACCUCUUGUUCCUCCUGUCCCAAAAGACCAUCCUGCUCUCAACUACAACAUCGUUUCAGGAAACAUCUGCGUGAGAAGGGCCCCUCUCAUAAAAUGAAAACAAAGGACAGAAAGCAUUGCUGAGGGCUUAAGGUGUGGAUGAAAUGACACAUUGAAGCUGAAGAAUCCCCAUGUUGACAGCAUUCAAUCCAAGAAAAGCUCCACUGUACACAUGUUCUAACAUAUGAGUGAUCCAAAAGAGAGAGCUUCACAUACAAUAUCCUAUGCCUACUUUCUCAGCUCAGAGAGAGAGGCUCAGUCAUUCAUAAACUGGAGCAACAUUCAUGUACUGCGGACCACUUUGAAAGACUUAUCUGUCUCCUGUUUACAGAUGUGUACAGCAAGCUGCAAAGCACUGCCUGUCCUUUUACUCACAAUCAAUUGCAGAGAACAUGAAGUACAGAAGACAACAGCUUUUUUUUUCUUUUGGAAAAUCCCUUAAGUCCUUUCCGUGCUGUGCUAUCAUUGUUCAGGUGCUAAAGUGAAAUAAAUGUGUCGUCUAAUCACUAAGGUGUCAUGAACUCAAAAAUUUAACUGGCAGUGAAGAGUCAGGGAACAUUGUAAUUUUGCCUUGUCACAGGAAUACUAGUUCAAAAGUGGGAGGAAUGUAUUUGCCAAUAUGGUCUACAUCUUCAAAUGCACAUUGUUUACUCAAACUUCAUAGGCACAUGUUCAAUGAAGGGCAUAAAAAAGACAUUUACAAAGCUCAUUGAAA
rnacentral:lncRNA from 1 species